rnacentral:rRNA from 1 species
CCUACGGGAGGCAGCAGUAGGGAAUGUUCGGCAAUGGGGGGAACCCUGACCGAGCAACGCCGCGUGAACGAAGAAGGUAUUCGGAAUGUAAAGUUCUUUUAACAGGGAAGAAAGAGAAAGUGGACGGUACCUGAAGAAUAAGCUCCGGCUAACGACGUGCCAGCAGCCGCGGUAAUACGUCGGGAGCGAGCGUUAUCCGGAAUGAUUGGGCGUAAAGGGUGCGGAGCUUGCAUAGUAAGUCUUUUGUAAAAAUGCUGGGCUCACCCCAGUAGGGCAACCGAUACUGCAAAGCUAGAGUAUGCCUGAGGCAAGUGGAACUACAUGUGUAGCUGUCAAAUGCGUACAUAUAUGUAAGAACACCAGUGGCGACGGCGGCUUGUUGGGUCGCUACUGACAUUGAUGCAC